rnacentral:rRNA from 1 species
UGGGGAAUAUUGCACAAUGGGCGCAAGCCCGAUGCAGCCAUCCCGCGUGUGUGAAGAAGGCCUUUGGGUUGUAAAGCACUUUCAGCGGGGAGGAAGGCGAUAAGGUUAAUAACCUUGUCGACUGACGUUACCCGCAGAAGAAGCACCGGCUAACUCCGUGCCAGCAGCCGCGGUAAUACGGAGGGUGCAAGCGUUAAUCGGAAUUACUGGGCGUAAAGCGCACGCAGGCGGUCUGUCAAGUCGGAUGUGAAGUCCCCGGGCUUAACCAGGGAGCUGCAUUCAAAACUGGCAGGCUAGAGUCUUGUAGAGGGAGGUAGAAUUACAGGUGUGGCGAUGAAAUGCGUGGAGAUCUGGGGGAAUACCGGUGGCGAGGGCGGCCACCUGCACGGAAACUGACGCACAGGUGCGAAAGCGUGGGGGGCAAGCAGG